ACACUGCUUCACAUUCCCAAGAACAAGAGGAGCAAGUCACAGUGGCAAGCCAGACAACAGAGAACUACUAGUACUACUUUUUAUUUAUUUUAUUCAUUUAUUUUUCAGUUUGUCAUAGCAGGCAUUUGGCUCAUUUGCCAGAAUUUGAAAGAAAGGGCAACAGCUACAUAAUAUUUAAAUCAAGGGAUGUUAUUAGUUUCAGCUAAUGGAAAAGUACCAAACCCCAACACCAGCCUUGCAGAGAGGAGGAACUCCCUCAGCCACUGCUGUGAUCUAACGUGAUCUCUUCCCAGCCACGGUCAACAGCAAGUUCAACUGACCAGAAGAGGACUUUCAAGAAUUCAUUCUUACACUAAAGCACACUACCAGCUACCAUUGAAGUGAUCCUGGUAACCCAUUCUGUUUAUAUGCCCUACUGCAUACAAUAAAGCACUU
rnacentral:lncRNA from 7 species